rnacentral:rRNA from 1 species
UACGGGGGGGGCAAGCGUUGUUCGGAAUUACUGGGCGUAAAGGGCUCGUAGGUGGCCAACUAAGUCAGACGUGAAAUCCCUCGGCUUAACCGGGGAACUGCGUCUGAUACUGGAUGGCUAGAGAUUGGGAGAGGGAUGCGGAAUUCCAGGUGUAGCGGUGAAAUGCGUAGAUAUCUGGAGGAACACCGGUGGCGAAGGCGGCAUCCUGGACCAACACUGACGCUGAGGAGCGAAAGCGUGGGGAGCAAACAGG